CCUACGGGCGGCAGCAGUGGGGGAUAUUGCACAAUGGGGGGAACCCUGAUGCAGCGACGCCGCGUGGGUGAAGGAGUAUUUCGGUAUGUAAAGCCCUAUCGGCAGGGAAGAAUGGAGACGGGACCGGACGAAGAAGCCCAGGCUAACUACGUGCCAGCAGCCGCGGUAAUACGUCGGGGGCAAGCGUGAGCCGGAGUCACUGGGUGUAAAGGGAGCGUAGACGGCCAGGCAAGCCUGGAGUGACAGCCCGGGGCCCCACCCCGGGACUGCUCUGGGAACGGUCCGGCUGGAGUGCGGGGGGGGCAGGCGGAGUUCCUGGUGUAGCGGUGAAAUGCGUCGGUCUCAGGAGG
rnacentral:rRNA from 1 species